GUGAGGUGGAAUUCUCCAGGUGAGUGUUGUCAGCACCUUAAACUCUGGACACAACUUGUGCUUAAGAGUUUGCAGGUUUACAGAACCAUCAAGGGAGAAGGAUGAGAAAACCUGUUUGUGCUGGUACUGACAGAGAAAUGAAUUUCUCCACCGACUUGAGUUUCAGAGGUGAUUAUAUCUCUUGGAGAACCUGUGGCCUGGAAUUAGUUUAUCCAUGAGCUUUGACCUCCAGCCCAUUCCAGGCCCUGCUUGAAGCCCCAGGGGAGUGGAGGGGGGUAUGAGUUUGCUUAAG